rnacentral:rRNA from 1 species
CCUACGGUGGGCUGCAGUGAGGAAUAUUGGUCAAUGGGCGCGAGCCUGAACCAGCCACGUAGCGUGAAGGAUGACUGCCCUACGGGUUGUAAACUUCUUUUAUAAAGGAAUAAAGUGAGGCACGUGUGCCUUUUUGUCUGUACUUUAUGAAUAAGGAUCGGCUAACUCCGUGCCAGCAGCCGCGGUAAUCCGGAGGAUCCGAGCGUUAUCCGUAUUUAUUGGGUUUAAAGGGAGCGUAGAUGGGUUGUUAAGUCAGUUGUGAAAGUUUGCGGCUCAACCGUAAAAUUGCAAUUGAUACUGGCAGCCUUGAGUACAGUUGAGGGAGGCGGAAUUCGUGGUGGAGCGGUGAAAUGCUUAGAUAUCACGAAGAACUCCGAUGGCGAAGGCAGCCUACUAAACUGCCACUGACAUUGAUGCUCGAAAGUGUGGGUAUCAAACAGGAUUAGAUACCCGAGUAGUC